rnacentral:rRNA from 1 species
AGGAAGGUGGGGAUGACGUCAAAUCAUCAUGCCCCUUAUGACCUGGGCUACACACGUGCUACAAUGGUUGGUACAACGAGUUGCGAGUCGGUGACGGCGAGCUAAUCUCUUAAAGCCAAUCUCAGUUCGGGAUUGUAGGCUGCAACUCGCCUACAUGAAGUCGGAAUCGCUAGUAAUCGCGGAUCAGCACGCCGCGGUCGAAUACGUUCCCGGGCCUU